CUUUUAGGUUGCUUAUAUGUUUUGUUCCAUAAAACCAGAAUGAUGACAACGUGAUUUAUAACUGUCAUUGUUUUCAUGACCACAUUUAACCACUAUAGGACCAAGUUGAAUUUCCUCAAGCUGGUGUUCAAAACCCUCAAUAAUAUUACCCACAUUUUCCUUCCCAGCUAAACAGACUUACUACCUGCCCACAUAUGCCUGUUCCUUUCUUGCCUUUGCUAUCACAGUUCUCCAUACUAGAAACUCAUCUUUCCUCUCCUUUGCCUUCCAAAUAUAAUCCCUUCUUUACAGAGAAAAAAUUGCUUUUUUUCUACUGUAAUUCUCAGAAUGUAUGCCACAGACUUUAACACUGUAGAAUAUACUCUAUUUGUUUUCUGAAGCUGCAUGUGCACAAGCCUCAUUCAUUAUCAAAAAUCCUAAGCUACUUACAGAUGAGGACUGGGCCAUUUUUCUUUUCUUUUUAAAUUCUUUAUUCAGGGUCAGGCCAGUAGCAGACUUUCAAUAAUAUCUCAGAAUCACAGCUAAAUUUUCCACUUGUUCAAAGGCUACAUUUGACUUAGAAGUGCACCAGGAGCAAAUGUGAACCAGAGAUAGUAAAACCCUGCGAAAUGCAAUUUCCUGUUUUGUGUGAUGCGGGAGCUGAAUAUUUCUACCAUAUCUCCUAGGAAAUAGAGAAUGAAUCAAAGGUGAAAGCUGUAAAAAAAGCCAAACUGAAUGGCUGCUAAUGCCACAAAAAUAAAGGGCAGGUUUUUCUAACUGUAGACCCUCUCCUCCCACCCCCUCCGCCACACACACAGACAAGUCGCAGAGUCAGACCAACCUUUCCAUGCAGAGCUCCAGAAGCUGCAGGAGCGGGCGGAGCAAGAGCCAGUGUGAGAGGAAAAGCCCCGGGUGCCCCUCCCCUUGUUGUUGUCCCGUGACCUCAGCCACGCUCUUGAAGACAGUCCUUCCCUUAAGCGCUGGUUAACACUCUUCAUGCCUUGCCUUUUGUUCGUUGCUGGGACCCUGACCCAGACAAAGAGCACCGAGGUUACUAUCGGUGGGGAGAGGUUCACACCUGUCGCUCAUGGGAGUGGGCUUCUAUGAUACCCUGACUCGCACAGGAGGAUGAGGUGUUGGAGAAAGCUUUAUUUCUGUGGAAUCAGAACCUUGGAGUUUCCAAGGUCCCAUUUCCCUUUGUUGCCUUCAAUGGGGCUAGAUCAGCCAUCAGCCGUGGGCAAA